UACGUAGGGUGCAAGCGUUGUCCGGAAUUAUUGGGCGUAAAGAGCGUGUAGGCGGUCCGGUAAGUCAGCUGUGAAAGUCAAGGGCUCAACCCUUGAAAGCCGGUUGAUACUGUCGGGCUAGAGUCCGGAAGAGGCGAGUGGAAUUCCCGGUGUAGCGGUGAAAUGCGCAGAUAUCGGGAGGAACACCAAUGGCGAAGGCAGCUCGCUGGGACGGUACUGACGCUGAGACGCGAAAGCGUGGGGAGCAAUCAGG
rnacentral:rRNA from 1 species